rnacentral:rRNA from 1 species
AACGAACGCUGGCGGCAUGCCUAACACAUGCAAGUCGAACGAGACCUUCGGGACUAGUUGCGCACGGGUGCGUAACGCGUCGGAACCGGCCCGUAUGUUCGGAAUACCUCCCCGAAAGGGGUGCUAAUACCGGAUAAUUUCUUCUGACCAAAGAUUUAUCGCCCUGGUAUGGGCCCGCGUUGGAUUAGCUAGUUGGUAGGGUAAAAGCCUACGAAGGCGACGAUCCAUAGCUGGUCUGAGAGGAAGAUCAGCCACACUGGGACUGAGACACGGCCCAGACUCUUACGCGAGGCAGCAGUGGGGAAUAUUGGAAAAUGGGCGAAAGGAUGAUGCAGCAAGGCCGCGUGAGUGAUGAUGGCCUGAGAGUUGUAAAGCUCUUUUACCCGGGAUGAUAAUGACGGUACCGAGAGAAUAAGCACCGGCUAACUCCGUG